GGUCAAAUCCAGCAGCUACGGGAUUGUCACACCCUCACCCUUUAAUCCCAUCGAUGCUGAGCCAGGCUUCCAUCCCCUGGCUGAGCUAGCCAGCUGUCUGACUGCUUGAAAAUGGUGGAAGAGGAAGAGGGCGGCGUGGAGGAGGGGGACGUGUUCCUAGCCUUUGCCCAGGGACCCAUUCCUCCUCGGGGGCCCGUGCGGCGCGCUUUGGACAAGAUCUUCCUCGCCUUCUUGGUCCUGUUCCUGACACUGCUGACGCUGGAGGCCGCUUACAAACUGCUGUGGCCCCUGCCAUGGGCCAAGUUUCGGGACUGGCUCCUGAGGACCCCUGAGGGGGAGUCAACUCUGGAACUCUGAGCAUCUUCACCCACCGACAACCUGUCCUUGCUACUGAGCCCAGCUCACUCAAAGAUUUAUUACUGUAUGUAUGUACACUGUCGCUGUCUUCAGACACCCCAGAAGAGGGCAUCAGAUCUCAUCAUGGAUGGUUGUGAGCCACUAAGUGGUUGCUGGGAUUUGAACUCAGGACCUCCGGAACAGCAGUCAGUGCUCUUAACUGCUGAGCCAUCUCUCCAGCCUGUAAGAGUGUAUUUUAUUUCCUUUUGUUUUCCUGCAAGUAUCAUGGUUUAAGUUUUCUUCCUGGCUGUACAACUCCACUGUAUGUCUGUACCACACUUUGUCUGUUUUACGGGCUAGUUGGCUGCUUCCAUUCUUUUGGCUAUUGUGAUAGCUACAGCAAUAAACACGGAUGUGCA
rnacentral:lncRNA from 1 species